ACACCGUCUAGUAACGACAUUUUGUUCUCGGCAAGCUUCGGAGACCGGUCAGCUGCUGUUCGAAGAUGGCUUUGCUGAAACUUGCUCUCUGUAUUCUCCUAUAUGCGUUGGUAGCCGCAAAUCCUCCCGCAAAUCGCCACCGUGGAAAUGCGGACAGCGUGAGGAUGUUCGCUGCUUUUCCCCAUGCCGUUGCCGUGUUCACAACCCAAAACGACACUUCUUUUAAGUGUCUCAGUGCAACGAGAAGGAACUUUAACCCGCGAGAAAGGACGGUUACCUACGUUUGGCACUUCAAAAAUCACACUGGCCAUCAAAGGAGAGACGUCGUCUUCGACGUGAAUUUUUCAGAAACUCCUGGAGAAGGCACCUUUUUCGUGAACAAUGGUAAG